rnacentral:tRNA from 1 species
GACUGAUUGGCGCAACGGUAGCGCGUUCGACUCCAGGUGCUUGGAAGACAAGUCGUGAAAUCGAAAGGCUGGGCGUUCGAAUCGCUCAUCGGUCA